rnacentral:rRNA from 1 species
UGGGGAAUAUUGGACAAUGGGGGGAACCCUGAUCCAGCAAUGCCGCGUGUGUGAAGAAGGCCUUCGGGUUGUAAAGCACUUUAGGCUGGGAAGAAGGUCUAUUGUUUAAGAGAUGAUAGGUUUGACGGUACCGGCAGAAUAAGCACCGGCUAACUCUGUGCCAGCAGCCGCGGUAAUACAGAGGGUGCGAGCGUUAAUCGGAAUAACUGGGCGUAAAGGGCGCGUAGGUGGUAAUUUAAGAUGCAUGUGAAAUCCCUGGGCUUAACCUAGGAAUGGCAUGGAUGACUGAAUUGCUAGAGUAUUGUAGAGGGUAGUGGAAUUUCCGGUGUAGCGGUGAAAUGCGUAGAGAUCGGAAGGAACAUCAGUGGCGAAGGCGGCUACCUGGACAAAUACUGACACU